rnacentral:rRNA from 1 species
AGAAUCAACGCUGGCGGCGUGCCUAACACAUGCAAGUCGAACGAGAAAGUGGAGCAAUCCAUGAGUAAAGUGGCGCACGGGUGGGUAACACGUGACUAACCCACCCUGGAGUGGGGAUAACUGAGGGAAACCUUAGCUAAUACCGCAUAGUACCUACGGGUCAAAGGAGCAAUUCGCUUCAGGAGGGGGUCGCGGCCGAUUAGUUAGUUGGCGGGGUAAUGGCCCACCAAGACAGUGAUCGGUA